rnacentral:rRNA from 1 species
ACGUUAGCGGCGGACGGGUGAGUAACACGUGGGUAACCUACCUAUAAGACUGGGAUAACUUCGGGAAACCGGAGCUAAUACCGGAUAAUAUUUCGAACCGCAUGGUUCGAUAGUGAAAGAUGGUUUUGCUAUCACUUAUAGAUGGACCCUCGCCGUAUUAGCUAGUUGGUAAGGUAACGGCUUACCAAGGCGACGAUACGUAGCCGACCUGAGAGGGUGAUCGGCCACACUGGAACUGAGACACGGUCCAGACUCCUACGGGAGGCAGCAGCC